GUGAAAGAAGCACGGUGGCUAGGAAAAACUCCCUAGGAAAAACUCCCUAGAAAGGCCAAAAACCUAGGAAGAAACCUAGAGAGGAACCAGGCUAUGAGGGGUGGCCAGUCCUCUUCUGGCUGUGCAGGGUGGAUAUUAUAACAGAACAUGGUCAAGAUGUUAAAAUGUUAAAAUGUUCAUAAAUGACCAGCAUGGUCAGAUAAUAAUAAUCAUAGUAGUUGUCGAGGGUGCAACAAGCACGUCCGGUGAACAGGUCAGGGUUCCAUAGCCGCAGGCAGAACAGUUGAAACUGGAGCAGCAGCACGGCCAGGUGGACUGGGGACAGCAAGGAGUCAUCAUACCAGGUAGUCCUGAGGCAUGGUACUAGGGCUCAGGUCCUCCGAGAGAAAGACAGAAAGAGAGAAUUAGAGAGAGCAUAUUUAAAUUCACACAGGACACCGGAUAAGACAAGAGAAAUACUCCAGAUGUAACAGACUGACCCUAGCCCCCCGACACAUAAACUACUGCAGCAUAAAUACGGGAGGCUGAGACAGGAGGGAUCAGAAGACACUGUGGCCCCAUCCGAUGAUACCCCCGGACAGGGCCAAACAGGCAGGAUAUAACCCCACCC
rnacentral:lncRNA from 1 species